AUGGGCGCAUAUUACAACGACGCCGUUUCAUUUCCACCAUGUUACGACGUUGUUUCUUCUCGAGAUGAACACGUUCAUGAUAACGUCCAUGGCAACAUCUUCAUCGAUUCUCUCAGUGUUGUCCAUUCAAGAUUUGAGCAUUCUCUUGGAGUGUAUUGUAUUGCUGGUCAAUCUGUUGAAAAGCUUAAUAGUUAUCAAGGAAUGGAGCUUGGUAUUGAUAGAUUUAAUAUGCAAACAGUGAAACUUGCUUGA